GACUGAUCUUCGUCCAAGAAUAUGUAAAGAAAAAGUGUUGAGUUGGCUUUUAGGGCUAGAGCAAUGUAUCUUAGGCUCACUUAAGGAAGCUGUAGAGAUGAGCCCAAGGAGGGAAACCAGAAGAGCCCCCCAGGCUCACCAGUUGUUUGUUGGCUCCCUACAAACAUGUCAUUCAAGUGGCUAAUCUUACAACAGCACAAAUUCAUCUAACCAGCAGAAAGAGAAGAGGAGGCUCCAAAGGCACUUGACUACUGAGCAUCACCCUGGACGUGUACAAGUCUGCGUCCUUAUUGUUUUCUUCAUUGGGCCGAACUUUCUGGUCCUCAUCCAACAGCUCUUCUAUCACGUGUUCGAAAGUGUCAGCCAAUGAUGUCAAGCCUCUUGAACCUGCCUUGGGCCCAUUCACGCUCUCCAGAGUCCCAUGGGUCCGCACACCUGGGUAGGCCAAGCCACCUUGUCCUCGGAUGUUUGCUUCUUUCAUGGGGGCAGCCUUCAUGCAACCAAAGUAUGAAAUAACCAUAGUAAGGAAAAGGAUGGUCAUCACUCUUCUCACCUGGUGGAACUGUA
rnacentral:lncRNA from 10 species